rnacentral:rRNA from 1 species
GAUGAACGCUGGCGGCGUGCCUAAUACAUGCAAGUCGAGCGAACGGACGAGAAGCUUGCUUCUCUGAUGUUAGCGGCGGACGGGUGAGUAACACGUGGAUAACCUACCUAUAAGACUGGGAUAACUUCGGGAAACCGGAGCUAAUACCGUAUAAUAUUUUGAACCGCAUGGUUCAAAAGUGAAAGACGGUCUUGCUGUCACUUAUAGAUGGAUCCGCGCUGCAUUAGCUAGUUGGGAAGGUAACGGCUUACCAAGGCAACGAUGCAUAGCCGACCUGAGAGGGUGAUCGGACACACUGGAACUGAGAAACGGUCCAGACUCCUACGGGAGGCCGCAGUAGGGAAUCUUCCGCAAUGGGCGAAAGCCUGACGGAGCAAAGCCGCGUGAGUGAUGAAGGUCUUCGGAUCGUAAAACUAUGUUAUUAGGGAAGAACAUAUGUGUAAGUAACUGUGCACAUCUUGACGGUACCUAAUCAGAAAGCCACGGCUAACUACGUG